GGGGCGUUAGCUCAGUUGGUUAGAGCAGAGGACUCAUAAUCCUUUGGUCGAGUGUUCAAGUCACUCACGCCCUA
rfam:Rhodoferax saidenbachensis strain DSM 22694, complete genome.